rnacentral:rRNA from 1 species
GACGAACACUGGCUGCGUGCUUAACACAUGCAAGUCGAACAGAAAGGCCCUGCAUGCCGGGUACUCGAGUGGCAAACCGCUGACUAACACGUGGGUGAUCUGCCCUGCACUUCUCGAUAACCCUGGGAAACUGGGUCUAAUACCGAAUAUGAGCCAUUUUUAGAGUGAUGGUUGGAAAGUUUUUUCAGUGUAUGAUGACCUCCCCGCCUAUCACCUAGUUGGCGGGGUAAUGGCCUACCGAGGCCGCAACGGGUACCCGGCCUGAGAGAGUGGACUGGCACUUUGUGACUGACAUACCGCCCAAACUCCUACCGGAGGCUGAAGAGGGCCAAUAUUGCACCUGGGCGCCAAGCCUGAUGCACCAACUCCCCCUGGGCCAUGACGGCCUUCGUGUUGUACACUCCUUGCUCUACGGACUAACCUUUAUGUGACCGCAUGUACAUCAGAAUGAGCGGCUAACUACCUGCUACCUUGAGCUGUAAUCCUGAGGGCGCAAUCCUUGUCCGGAAUUACUGGCGUUAAGGCUCGUAGUGGUUUGUCGCGUCGUCUGUGAAUUCCGGGGCUUAAUUCCGGGCGUGCAGGCGAUACGGGCAUAACUUGAGUACUGUAGGGGUAACUGGAAUUCCUGGUGUAGCGGUGAAAUGCGCAGAUAUCAGGAGGAACACCGAUGGCGAAGGCAGGUUACUGAGCAGUUACUGACGCUGAGGAGCGAAAGCAUGGGUAGCGAACAGGAUUAGAUACCCUGGUAGUCCAUGCCGUAAACGGUGGGCGCUAGGUGUGAGGGUCUUUUCACGACUUUCGUGCCGUAGCUAACGCAUUAAGCGCCCCGCCUGGGGAGUACGGCCGCAAGGCUAAAACUCAAAGGAAUUGACGGGGGCCCGCACAAGCGGCGGAGCAUGUGGAUUAAUUCGAUGCAACGCGAAGAACCUUACCUGGGCUUGACAUACACCGGAUCGGGCUAGAGAUAGUCUUUCCCUUUGUGGCUGGUGUACAGGUGGUGCAUGGUUGUCGUCAGCUCGUGUCGUGAGAUGUUGGGUUAAGUCCCGCAACGAGCGCAACCCUUGUCUUAUGUUGCCAGCAUUUGGUUGGGGACUCAUGAGAGACUGCCGGGGUCAACUCGGAGGAAGGUGGGGAUGACGUCAAAUCAUCAUGCCCCUUAUGUCCAGGGCUUCACACAUGCUACAAUGGUCGGUACGACGCGCAGCGACACUGUGAGGUGGAGCGAAUCGCUGAAAGCCGGCCUUAGUUCGGAUUGGGGUCUGCAACUCGACCCCAUGAAGUCGGAGUCGCUAGUAAUCGCAGAUCAGCAACGCUGCGGUGAAUACGUUCCCGGGCCU